rnacentral:rRNA from 1 species
GAGGAAUAUUGGUCAAUGGCCGAAAGGCUGAACCAGCCAUCCCGCGUGCAGGAUGACGGCCCUAUGGGUUGUAAACUGCUUUUGUACCUGAAGAAACCUGGUUACGAGUAACCAGUUGCCGGUAAGGUAUGAAUAAGCAUCGGCUAACUCCGUGCCGGCAGCCGCGGUAAUACGGAGGAUGCAAGCGUUAUCCGGAUUCAUUGGGUUUAAAGGGUGCGCAGGUGGGAAAAUAAGUCAGUGGUGAAAUACUGCCGCUUAACGGUAGAAUUGCCAUUGAUACUGUUCUUCUUGAGUAUGGUUGAGGUAGGUGGAAUGUGUUGUGUAGCGGUGAGAUGCAUAGAUAUGACACAGAACGCCGAUUGCGAAGGCAGCUUACUAAGCCAUUACUGACGCUGAGGCACGAAAGCGUGGGGAUCAAAC